GCAGCGGAGCGGUGUGGUUUAAUUCGUUGCUACACGAAGAACCUUACCUGGGUUGACAUAUAGGUUGUAGGGAACUGAAAAGGGACCGACCCUUCGGGAGCCUAUACAGGUGUUGCAUGGCUGUCGUCAGCUCGUGUCGUGAGAUGUUCGGUUAAGUCCGCUAACGAGCGCAACCCUCGUCGUAUGUUAUAUGUGUCAUACGAGACUGCCGGUAAAAGCCGGAGGAAGGUGAGGAUGAUGUCAAGUCAGCAUGACCUUUAUAUCCAGGGCUACACACACGCUACAAUGGUCUGUACAAUGGGUAGCCAAGCCGCGAGGCGGAGCCAAUCCUGAAAGCAGGCCUCAGUUCAGAUUGCAGUCUGCAACUCGACUGCAUGAAGCCGGAGUUGCUAGUAAACGCAGGUCAGCCAUACUACGUUGAAUACGUUCCCGGGGCUU
rnacentral:rRNA from 1 species